UAGAUACCCUAUUAUUUUAAAUGUAAAUAUAUUAUGUUUUUGAGUAGUAAUAGUUAUGAUCUUGAAACUCAAAGAAUGUGGCGGUAUUUUAGUCCUUUCAGAGGAAUCUGUUCCGUUAUUGAUAAUACACAAUUAACUUUACUUAGUUUUGUAAUUUCAGUUUGUAUACCGCCGUCAUCAGUUUAUCUUUUGAAGGGUAAAAUUUUCUUUAAAUUUUAUUAUAUUAUAUGUCAGGUCAAGGUGCAGCUAAUAAUUAAGUGGGAAAUGGAUUACAAUAAAUUUUAUUUAUAUGGAUUUUUUUAUUGAAAAUUGGAUUGAAGGUGGAUUUGAAGGUAAUUUUAUUAAUUUAAUUAAUUUGAUUAUGGCUCUAGAAUAUGUACACAUCGCCGGUCGCUCUU
rnacentral:rRNA from 1 species